GUGGCUCCGAGCGGGUGGUUGCUUGUUGGUUGUUGUAGUAACGGGGGAAGCAGCGGCGGGGAAGGAGGAGGGAGGUAGGCCCAGAGCGCGGUCCCCGCCUUCCCGCCCUGAGCCAUGGGAAGAUGAGACAGGAAUCUGUGCCACCCAAAUUGUGUGAUGCAGUGAAUCUGCAAGGAGAGGUCAGGCCCCUGUUUGUCGACUGUAUGACAGACCCUGAAGGAAAUGCCAGUUGUGAUGGCCCGGGACCUGGAGGAAACCGAGUCAUCCUCAGAGGAUGAGGAGGUGGUAAGCCAAGAGGAUCAUCCAUGUAUCAUGUGGACUGGAGGCUGCAGGAGAAUUCCAGUUUUGGUAUUCCACGCUGAGGCCAUUCUGACCAAGGACAAUAAUAUCCGAGUAAUUGGAGAACGUUAUCAUUUGUCUUAUAAGAUUGUGCGAACGGACAGUCGCCUGGUGCGCAACAUUCUGACAGCCCAUGGAUUUCAUGAAGUUCACCCAAGCAGCACUGACUAUAACCUGAUGUGGACAGGAUCCCACCUGAAGCCAUUUUUACUACGCACCCUCUCUGAAGCACAGAAGGUUAAUCACUUUCCCAGGUCUUAUGAACUAACACGAAAGGACCGGCUGUACAAAAAUAUCGUUCGAAUGCAACAUACACAUGGAUUCAAGGCUUUUCACAUCCUCCCUCAGACCUUCCUCCUGCCAGCUGAGUACGCGGAAUUCUGUAAUUCAUACUCUAAGGACCGGGGACCUUGGAUAGUAAAACCAGUGGCCUCUUCUAGGGGGCGGGGCGUCUACCUGAUCAACAGUCCAAACCAGAUAUCCCUGGAAGAGAACAUCCUGGUCUCCCGUUACAUUAACAACCCCCUGCUUAUUGAUGAUUUCAAGUUUGAUGUGCGCCUGUAUGUGCUUGUGACUUCCUAUGAUCCUCUUGUCAUCUAUCUCUACGAAGAAGGAUUGGCUAGGUUUGCAACCGUGCGAUAUGAUCAAGGAGCCAAGAACAUUCGGAACCAGUUCAUGCACCUGACAAACUACAGUGUGAAUAAGAAGAGUGGCGACUAUGUAAGUUGUGAUGAUCCAGAAGUGGAGGAUUAUGGGAACAAAUGGAGCAUGAGUGCUAUGCUCAGGUACCUGAAACAAGAAGGCAGAGAUACAACUGCACUGAUGGCCCACGUGGAAGACCUCAUCAUUAAGACGAUAAUCUCCGCUGAGCUUGCUAUCGCUACUGCUUGUAAAACCUUUGUUCCUUAUCGCAGCAGUUGCUUUGAACUAUACGGCUUUGAUGUGCUCAUAGAUUCCACUCUGAAGCCAUGGCUGUUGGAAGUGAAUCUCUCCCCUUCCUUGGCCUGUGAUGCACCUCUGGACCUAAAGAUUAAAGCCAGUAUGAUUUCAGAUAUGUUCACUGUUGUAGGAUUCGUGUGCCAAGAUCCUGCCCAGCGGGCAGCAACACGACCAAUUUAUCCCACCUUUGAGUCAUCCAGGCGUAAACCUAUCCAGAAACCUCAGCGUUCCCGCCCACUCUCUGCCAGUGAUGCGGAAAUGAAGAACCUUGUAGGCCCACCCCGGGAGAAGAUGUCAGAGAAGUUAGGUGGCUCUGUGCUUGGACUGUCCAUGGAAGAGAUCAAAGUUUUACGGAGAGUGAAGGAAGAGAAUGAUCGAAGAGGUGGAUUUAUCCGCAUAUUUCCUACAUCCGAGACAUGGGAAAUUUAUGGGUCCUACCUUGAGCACAGGACCUCCAUGAACUAUAUGCUGGCAACACGCCUCUUCCAGGACAGGGGGAACACAAGAAGAAGCUUAUUGACAGGAAGAACACGGGAGACCAGAGGAUUAGUGAAAUUUCAAGACUACUGCCACAUUAGACUCAAAAUGACCACUGAUGGAAUGCCAGAAUUGAAGGUAGAGAGUGUGAAUUCAAAGGCCAAGCUGCAUGCUGCUCUUUACGAGAGAAAACUCCUGUCUCUGGAGGUGCGAAAACAUAGACGGCGGAGUGGCAGAUUGAGGGCACUAAAGCCAAAAUACCCAGUGAUUACCCAGCCAGCUGAAAUGAAUGGUAAAACUGAGGCAGAGAGUGAAGAGGAAGAAGAAGAAGUUGCAUUAGACAAUGAAGAUGAAGAACAGGAAGCUUCCCAGGAGGAGUCUGCAGAGUCUCUUGCAGAAAAUCAAGGCAAAUUUGCACCCCCGUUGACUAUUGGGAUAGAAAAUUUACCCAAAGAAAAUUCCAUGGAAGUUCCUGUGUGGAAUAAUAAAGGUGAACAGGGCUGCAAGAUUGAGACUCAGGAGCCAGAGCCUAACUUUAACCUGAUGCAGAUUCUGCAGGAUAAUGGGAAUCUAAGCAAAGUACAGGCCCGAAUAGCAUUCUCUGCCUAUCUCCAGCAUGUUCAAACUCGCCUGAUGAAAGCCAGUGGAGGUCAGACGUUCAGUGCCAGUUGGGCUGCCAAAGAGGAUGAACAGAUGGAGUUGGUAGUUCGUUUCCUCAAGAGAGCAUCAAGUAACCUGCAGCAUUCACUGAGAAUGGUAUUACCCAGUCGACGAUUAGCUCUUCUAGAACGCAGAAGAAUCCUCGCCCACCAACUAGGUGACUUUAUCGUUGUGUACAACAAGGAAACAGAACAAAUGGCUGAAAAGAAAUCCAAGAAGAAAUUUGAAGAGGAAGAAGAAGAUGGGGUGAAUGCAGAAAACUUUCAGAAGUUCAUCAGACAAGCAAGUGAAGCUGAACUGGAGGAAGUACUGACUUUUUAUACCCAAAAAAACAAGUCUGCAGGUGUCUUCCUGGGUACUCACUCUAAAAGUUCCAAACACAGCCAAACUCUUUCUGAUAAUGGGGCAAAAGGUGAUCACCCUGAGAUGAUAGAAGAAGUAAAAAUAAAGCAGCCCAAACACCAACAGGCAACAGAAAUUCUCUCUGAUAAAUUAUCUCGAUUUACCACCUCAACAGAAAAAGAGGCUAAAUUAGUCUAUACCAAUUGUUCCUCUGCUUCUUUCUCUGCUCCUGCUGCUACUCUUCCACAGAAAAUUCCCAGCACCCAUUUGUCAUCUGUUACAACCUUUGCCCUCUCUCCAGGGCCUGGCCACCAUCCUUCCUUAUCUCAUAUUCCUCCAACUAUUCCCAGCAUGUCUCACCAGCCAGCCGUUUUACUGCACCCUGACCCUGAUCAUGCUGCUCCUUCCAUACAUUCUGGGACACAGAAUGUACCAAGCCCCGCUGGCCUGCCACACUGUCGAUCAGGCAGCUACACCAUUGGCCCCUUCUCCUCUUUCCAAACCGCUGCACACAUCUAUAGCCAGAAACUGUCUGGUCCCUCUUCAGCAAAGGCAGCAAGUUUGUGCCAUCCAAACAAGCAUCAUUCAGGAGUAGCCAAAGCACAAAAAGAGGGAGAAGAUGGUUCUUUAUACAGUAAGCGGUACAACCAAAGUAUGGUGACGGCUGAACUUCAGCGGCUCGCCGAGAAGCAGGCAGCGAGGCAGUAUUCCCCAGCCAGCCACAUCACUCUCCUCACCCAGCAGGCAGCAAACCUGAAUAUGGCAAGUGGUGCCAUAAACAGGAGCAGUGCUUCAACUCCCCCCUCCCUGAGACCUGUCAUCAGUCCCAGUGGUCCAGCGUGGUCAAUACAGUGUGACCCCCAUGCCCCCGAAAGCCACUCCAGCCCCCCUGGAAGCAGGAGACUCCAAGCAGGUGGCUUUGCCUGGGAAGGAGAGAUCGAGAACAACGCAUACAGCAAGGCUACAGGGGUGGUCCCCCAGCACAAGUAUCUCCCCACGGCGGGCAGUUACCAACUCCAUUUUGCCCUCCAACAUCUUGAACAACAAAAACUGCAGUCCCGGCAACUUCUGGACCAGGGUCGAGCUCGGCACCAGGCGAUCUUUGGCAGCCAGAUCCUACCUAACUCCAAUUUAUGGACAAUGAAUAAUGCCACAGGCUGCAGAAUUUCAGGGGCCACAGCUAGUGGCCAGAAGCCAACCACUCUACCACAAAAAGUGGUGCCUCCUCCAAGUUCUUCCACUUCCCUGGUUCCCAAACCCCCAACCAAUCAUAAGCAAGUGCUCAAAAAGGCCACAUCCCAGAGGGCUUCCAAAGGGUCCUGCGAAGAAGGGCAGCUGAGCGAACUCCAGAGCAGCCUUAACACCACAGCCUUUGUGCCCCUCCCCAGCUCCACAGACUCCCCAAAGCCUUCAAGCAGAAGUGGCAGUGGACGGUUGCCAUCAGCCAAGCCAGACUUUUACUGAGACAACAGGAACACAGAGCCUCUGGCUUUGGAAGGAACUUGGCAGCAGGGACAUCCAGCUCGUGCCUCUGUCUCUCCCCUGGCCAAGUCCAAGCUCUGGCUUCUGCAGGAGAAAAAGUUGAAAGCUGGGCCCCAGAGCCCACUAAAGGAUUGACUGAGCUACUCUGGGAAGUCGGUGAGGGAGAAUCCAGAAUCUGGGGCUGCUGCUGUAAGGCCCUAUAGACUCAACAUUAAAAUCCAAAGAGAAAAAUGAUACCCAACAAAGACAGAGAAGGGGCCUCUAUUGCCUUCUCAGUGACUGAAAACAAAGGAUCAGGCAUGUUGGAGCACCGUUUGCUUCUAACAGAUGAGAUUGUCUGGGUUGUAGGCAAGAAGGUAGAAUAGAGUCCAUGUGUUCCUGGGACUUCUAGGUAAUCGUCUGAGGACCAUCUUAACUGUUUGCCCACUUGGUUAUGGGUUGGUUAGGAAACAGUUUAGAAGUCCUCCAAGUCCCCUGCUGACAUGUUGUACUGGGAAAUAAGGGGCCUGGAAGAACUCAACAUAUGACUCUUGUGAAAAGGGAUGAGAUGAACCUAGUAACAACUCAGAGAGCAACUGCAGUGCUUGGAACUGCCCAGGGUAAACAAUCAGAACCAAAUUCUCAGGCUGAUUUCUUAUUUCAUUCACUGUGUCCCAGCCAGGUACCAGGUACCAGAUCUCUCCCUCCAGUGUCCCUCUACCUUUCCACAAAACCAGUGUGUGUAUUUUUUGAAGACAGAGAGAUGAUGAUUCAAGUGUCUGUGGGGCCAUAGUGAUAUAUACGGACCAGGGAGGCUGGACUCUAAACUGCUGCCCAGAUUUUUAUCUACUGCUUUUAAUGCAGGAGUAGCAUGCUCACUUAAAAACAUUUGGAACUACCUACCAUGUGUUCUGUUUUCUCUGGGGUACCUCAGAGUGAUCUUUUAGUGAUGUCUUAUGAGGUUCAAUAAAAAGGAAGAUUUAGGGCCAGGGAUUUAACUCAGUGGUUUCGCUGCCUGCUGUGCAAGUGCAAGGACCCAAGUUCAAUCCCCGGUACCAAAAAAUAAAACCCCAAAAAUAAAAGAAAAAAGGAAGAUUUAGUCUAGAACCAGGAAGAUUAUUUUCCUCUUCCUUAUUGAAGCCUCAAGUAAGGACCAGUAAUGUCAGAUGUAAUAUAUUGCUUCUCAAAAUGAAGUUCUUAGGAAAGCCGGACCCUGCCCUGGUCCAAAAGACAGCUAUGGAGCUGUAGUGAAUAGACUGUGACACUUGGGAUAUCAACAGCCAUGGCUCACUGUGACCCCCCCCCCAGUGGUUCCUGGGUAAGACAGAGUGUAGCCCCACGGGGUUUUAGGGCAGGGACAUGGUCUCCAGAAGGACAGCGGAAAUAAAUGGGCACCCAUGGGAUGAAAACAAAGAGAAGCCUUUAGAAUUGGCUGGAACAUGGACAGAGCAGAGAGCAGGCGAAAAUGUCUUGGUGACCAAACUCAGGUUCAAUCUUGAAGAACUCCAGAAGGAGCAAGAUGCUCAUAUACUUGAUCACACACAGGCAUGAGCAUCUCCUGCACAUCCUCCAAACUGCAAACUGUAGCUUCAGACAGACCUUUUACCAGUGCUAAUGUGAGUCACUGAGCCAGGUGGCUUUUGGGAGCUGCUUGAUGGUUCCUCACGCCCUGCUCCCUCACUGCAGAUGGCCUGCUUCAGGUGGAUAUGCAUACAGAAUGCUGCAUCAUUCUGGGAUCUGUGACUUCAGUAGACCAUAUGGGAUUGUGCUUUUCCCAGACCACUAACAAGAGGCCUGGAGUCUUGAAAGGGUUCCUGCUUGGCAAGUUUAGUAUUAACCUAGUAACAGA